rnacentral:piRNA from 1 species
AGGCACAACUAACGUUUAAUGGUCCAG